GCAGAGUAAGUACCUGCGCGUGAAGUGCCGGGUGGACGGGGAGCUGUCAUCCGGACGAAAAGCCAUAAACGGCUUGCGGUGCCGGUACUGCAUCCCGCUGC
rnacentral:ncRNA from 1 species